rnacentral:rRNA from 1 species
UACGUAGGGGGGCAAGCGUUGUCCGGAAUCAUUGGGCGUAAAGAGCGCGUAGGCGGUCCGGUAAGUCCGCUCUGAAAGCCCGGGGCUUAACCCCGGGUCGGCAGUGGAUACGGGCAGGCUAGAGGUAGGUAGGGGAGAAUGGAAUUCCCGGUGUAGCGGUGAAAUGCGCAGAUAUCGGGAGGAACACCGGUGGCGAAGGCGGUUCUCUGGGCCUUACCUGACGCUGAGGAGCGAAAGCGUGGGGAGCGAACAGG